rnacentral:lncRNA from 1 species
AAAAAACGAAAAAAAGAGAAAAACGAAAAAAAAUAAAAAUAAAUAAAUAAAUAAAUAAAUAAAAUAUAACAAAAAAUUUUUUUUUGGACUUGGGCCUCUCUCAUUUGAGCCCACAGGUCCACAAAAACCAGGUUAUAAAUUCAGAGUUUCAGUGAAACAAAAGAUGUCAUUCCUAUUACCCUAGCAGGAAAAAGAAAGUGAGAGAAGAGCUAACAGAGUUCAGAGCAACCUCCGGAGGCUGAAGGGAACUCAUCGGCAAAGAACCAA